rnacentral:lncRNA from 1 species
UAUUUCAAAUAAUACUAUAUUACAGUAUUUUUCAAUGUUAUAAUGUCUGGUGAAAUGUAUGAUGAAAGGACAUUUUAAUAUUAAUGUAUAAAAUCACUGCAGAUACAUUCACUAUGAAGAAAAAUUACUCUACAGAAGGUAAUUCUAAACAAUUCAUAGAACAAAACAAAACACCUUAAAGGUAGAAUAAAAAGAGCAAAGGAAGACAAUAAACUAAAUAUUUUUUUGAAUUCUAAAAAUAAAUAAAAUUAUUUUAGUUUUCUUUCCCCCCCAAAAAGGCAUCAUCCACCUAGCUCCUCUCCCACUUACCCACUGCCUUAUUAAAUUGAGAAACUAGUUUCCUUCACAUUUUUCUAAUUCAAUUAUAAAAUCUAAACAUAUUCAAAGUCAAAUGAAUGUGAGCAAUGCUAACCAUGAACCAGGUGCUAAAAAAUACUAUUGGUCUAUGUUGAGACAGCUUCCUAUUUAUGAUGCUUUCAAUCAUUUUUUAACAGUAAAAAGUGCCAUUUGAUUUACAGAAUUUCUUGUAAAUAGCAGUUAAAAUACACUGCAAACAGAAGAAUUUCAGUAACAUGUAUUUAAGUUUAUCCCUAAAAGACUUCCACUGAAUCAUCUAAGCAUUUAAAUUUAGCAAAGCCAACUAUCCUGUAUAUGUCCAAUUUCUUGAACUAGUCCGACAAAAUAUUAGUAUUCUGUAAAAAGCACUACGGAAUGUACCAUUUCCCC